CCUCCCUCCAGCCGCCGCCGCCUCCUCUCUCUCUCUCUCUCCCCCAUGAGGCCACGAUACCCCCACUGAUGCUCCUCCCCCACGCUAGCCCUUCCAUGGCUAUGAGGUUGGGGUGCGGAAGGAAUGGAGGUGCUCAUGACGGAGGGGACGGAAGAAGACCCGCAGACAAGCUCGAGAUGGAGGCGUGGAGGUCGAGGUACAGGGAGCAGCGAGGGCAGCGCUGAUCUGCCUCUUCUGGGCGAUGGGGUGCAGCUGCGAGGGAGAGAGGAAGGAGGCCGGCGACAUGGGGAAAGGGCAUACCAGCCCUGCUUCAUAGGCUAGACUUGAGACCACAUAGCGCCAAGGGCUUGCUUCUUUGUAUCAAGGACAAGUACCAGGUGUCACCUUUCAUCUCUUUUAGUGACAAUCAUGUUUGUAUUUGUGUUUUGUAUUUACUGAUCAUAGCUUGACCACUGAUGCUCCUUCGUGCACUUCCUGGUGAGCUAGGGAAUGUUCAUUUAAAUCAAUUCAGUUCUUCGAGCAUAACAUUCAAACCACUGCUAUUUUGUCUCUUUGGGUAGCCUUUCUUCAAGGUUUAUGAUUCCCCAUUUUCUGCAUUCAUGUGUGUGGACACUGGUAGAAUUACUAGAAGCAGCAGCUGUCAUUUUUAUUUGCUAUCACAACAUAGCAUCAACUCAUGGCAAGGUAUGAUGUUGGGUUAAUAGCUAUUUUUAGAGGGUGGGUCCAGUUAUUGCUUAAUUUGUUGGUUAUAUGAGUUACAAUUUUUCAUAGUCUGGGACAAAUUGUUUCAUUGCUGAUAUAUAUGUAUUGUUUUCAUCAAGGCUUGAAGUGUCAUUAGCACAACAUACAGGGAUACUUUGGUCAUUCAUUGAUGAUCCUAUUUGUCUUCUCUUAAUCACUCACAAGAUACAAAUGCUCAUACCCAUGGACAUGGCCUGGAAAUCCAUGCGAUGAGGCUGACAAGAUCUUCUUCUAUGCUUUAACUUCUAUCACCAUUGGUGAUGGGGCGCUCGCCCCUUUCUAGGAAUCUCCGUGGCUAGAUGGUCGGAAGCCCAAAGACAUUGCCCGCUUAUUUUUGAGGCUUCCAAGAGGAAAUUCUGGAAGGUUGGCAUGGUGACUGUCCUCACUGCCGAGCAUAUCCGCCAGUUCUUGGAGCUCUAGAUUUCCCUUCGCGGGGUGCAGCUUCAUGCGGGGGUCCAGGACACCAUCUUGUGGAAGCAUACCAAUACUGGGAUCUAUUCUGCGUCCUUGGCUUACAAAGUUCAUUUCCUGGCCAUCACUCGCUCUGCCAUGUACAAAGUCAUCCGGAAAGCUUGGGCCCCUCCGAAAUUCAAGUUUUUUGCAUGGCUUGGGCCCCUCCGUAAUUCAUCAGGAGUCGGUUGAGCAUCUGUUCUUCCAGUGUAGAUACACGUUGCGGGUGUGGGAUCUGUUGAAGGAUUGGCUUCAUCUCUUUGAUGUUGAUACUUCCGGUUGGGAAGCAUUCAGAAGCAUCAAAGAUUGGUGGUGUGACAUGGCGUCCAUCCACAGCGUGCACAGCAGGGCGAUGCCAUCCUUGAUCAUGCUCGUUAGUAAGUCUAUCUGGGACGAGAGGAACACGCAGGUUUUCCGCGGCCACCAUGCCCCUACAUUCAUCCUUCUUCAAGCGAUCGAACAAGACUAUGCUUUGGGCCUUAGCGGGGGCAAAGCACUUGGGUCACUUCUUGCCGGGAGAGUAAGCGUCUUGUUUCUCUUCUUUUGACAACAUCAGAGGUAACCUGCAAAUUAUUAGUCUUUUCUCUUCAAUGAUUUUUGUAUUUUAUUUGUCGGUCGUGUCUUUUUAUAUAUGUUUCUCCUGUACCAUUUAGUUGUUAUAGUUCAUGUGUUUGGCCAUAUCAUCAAGUUUACUGUUGUACAUUCCUGUCUAAAUUAUUUUUGUAGGAAACAUGUCAUGUUUCCGUCUCAAUUAUAUUUGUAGGAAACUAUUCAAACUCUUCUGUAGGUCAACUGUUCUCUGUUGUUUUUCUUUACAAGUUUUUCCACUAUGCUCAUUUAAUUCAUUCAUGUUUCCUUUACAGUUGCAGUGGUUCAUGUAUUUAAAGCAAGUUCAUGUACGAUGUUUUACUAAUAAUUUAAUUGAUGUAAAUCCAUGAGUCUCUAUUCGGUUUAGCAUGGAUUUUCUGCGGAUUCAGUCUUCAUCUUUGCUAGCUAGAAUUUGUGUCAAGAAAUCUGGUAGAUACCCA